UACGUAGGGCGCAAGCGUUGUCCGGAAUUACUGGGCGUAAAGGGCUUGUAGGCGGCCAACUAAGUCCGACGUGAAAUCCCCAGGCUUAACCUGGGAACUGCGUCGGAUACUGGAUGGCUUGAAUUCGGGAGAGGGAUGCAGAAUUCCAGGUGUAGCGGUGAAAUGCGUAGAUAUCUGGAGGAAUACCAGUGGCGAAGGCGGCAUCCUGGACCGACAUUGACGCUGAGGAGCGAAAGCUAGGGGAGCAAACGGG
rnacentral:rRNA from 1 species